UGUUAAUAUACUAACACCAUAGUAGUUGUUUGUGGGGAGGAAAGUGGUGCAUAUAAAUUCAAAGAAAAUAUUUUUAUUCUAUUCUUAAAUAACCACAAGUACUUGCUAAUGGGAUGUGUGCCACCACUAUUGCACACUUCAACUUCUUAAACAUAUUGGAGACCACCACCCACCUCUUGUGUUCCACGUUGACUUUCUUUCUUUUUUUAAAAAAGAUUUAUUUAUUUGACAGAGAUAGAGAGUACAAGUAGGCAGAGGGGAAAGUCGAGGCAGGUGGAGAAGCAGGCUUCCCGCUGAGCAGGGACCACCCCCACCAACUACGUGGGGCUCAAUCCCAGGACCCCAGGAUCAUGACCUGAGCUGAGGGCAGACACCAAAGUGACUGAGCCAUCCAGGCACUCCUCCCCACAUUGAUUUUCAUGUGGUGCUUGCCUUUUAUCACACUGAAAGUCCCGCUUCGUGACGAUACAAGAACAUAAGCCAUCAAGUUGCAAUGUUGCAACUAUGAACUACCUCUGCAUCUUUGUGUUUCCCUCAGAAACUUGAACAAUUCCAUGGUGGUCCUGCAUGACUUCACUGCAGAGCCUUAGAGUGCCUCAACAUGCAGUUCAAGCAGCACUGUUUCACUUCCAACUUCAAAACAGAUCUACCAUCCUACCUCCCCCUUAUCGUGAGUUCAAGAAGAAUCCGCCCUGUAAGAACCCAGAUGGAGGCUCAUGUGGUCCUCAGAGGCAAAGAAGAACUGCCCUCCAAAGAUCAGAGGCUGCUGUUGGGACACAGAUGGUAACUUUACUUUCCUCCCUCUAGUAUCUUCCAUUUGGAACUAACCCUCAAGCUAACCACUGUUCUCACUACUCUUCUCAGCCAUCUUUCACCCCCAGGGAAAGCCCCGCCUCCUGAGUCCCCUCUUCUCCUGACCUUCAUCCAGCAGUUCAAGGCAGGAACUCUGAAAUGCCUAGGAGAAUGAUGGUUCUUCUUCUCAUUGGUGGUCUUUGCAAUUCUGUUGCAACAAGGAAACAUUUGUGCAAAAAAUGUAACUGCAGUUUUAGAAUCACUAAAACAAGCAAACAGCAAACAAGUUAGGUCACGCAAAGGCCUAUCUGAAAUUUCCGAAGGAAUUUUCGGGUUACAAGUUUUUCUUGAGAACAAUAGCUCCCAGAAAACAUCUUCCUGGGCUCCAGGCUCCCACUGACCAUUCAUAAAAAUCAGCUGCAGGUAAGAAAGGGCCCAUAAAAUAGCAUAUCUUCCCGUCCUACUGUCCACGUCACAGCUAUAGAAGAAACGGGAAAAAUAGAAAAUCUCUUCCUUUUUUCUCAGCAGUAAUAUAUUUUCUGAACAGGAGGAUCUGGAUUCAAUUUUUUGUCUGUGCAAACAUAAAACUAUUUCCUGGCUGAGUAUGAAUCCUUUCCUGCUUUUGCACACUCGUCUGGAAGACAUCCCACACCCUUCUUCUAUAGAAGCCCAGAGCUGAAAGGGCAUGUACAGGAUGGCAGGGUCAGGCUGAUGAUGGUGAUAUUCAACUAACUCUGGACACGUCGGGAUGCCAGGCGCCCCCACCUCUGGGAUCUUUAUGUAGGAUCUGGAGUUGGGGAACCAUGCUGUGCUACACAGCCCAGAUCCCCCUUCAGGAAUGCAGGACUUAUCUCCCCAGCUUCUGGGAAUGCUGCCAUGACCCUCGGCUGCCAGUCCUCUUUGGAGAAUGCUUUGGCUGAAGAAAACCUCCAGGACAGCCUGUACUGAAACAAGACAUUUUGUUCCUGUGGGAGAACAUGACUCUGCCUGCUACGAUGGGUAUUGUGCCAUCAGAGAUGAAGGCAUCGAUUCAGAUGGAAACUGAGUUUCCACGUGAGAAGUUCCUAUAAAUAUUGGACAGACCUUCAUUCAACAAAUAUUGACUGAAUGCCUGCUAUGAGCUGGCAAAGUUCUAAGCACUGGAGAUAUGUAAAUGAACAAGAUAAAUGAAAAUCCCCAUGCCGAAGAGCAAGCAGAGGUCUGAGCACUUCACACAUGACAGCUUUGGGGUCCCUGGUUGGCUUGGUUGGUGGAGCGUGAGACUCUUAAUCUCAAGGUCAUGAGUUCAAGCCCACGUUGGGUAUGGAGCCAACAACAACAACAAAAUUAAUCUUCAUGAUGUCUCUAUGAGGUAAGCACUGUUAUCAUCAUCCCCAUUUUACAGAUAAAACAGAAGUACAGAAACAUGAAGCGAUACUUAUCAGUUAGAGAGAUGAGAUGUGUAGCAGAUUGUGAAAUAAUUUGACAACUGAGAAUAAUCUUCAUUUCAUUUUGUAGGUGACACCUAAUAAUUAUAAUACACUGUUGGCUGAUACUGACUCAUGUCACUCACAGAAGAGGGUUUUUUGGGGGGGCAUCUGGGUGGUUCAGUGGGUUAAGCCUCUGCCUCUGGCUCAGGUCAUGAUCUCAGGGUUCUGGGAUCAAGUACCACUUGAGCCUUCUGCUCAGCGGGGAGGGAGCCUGCUUCCCCUUCUCUCUCUGCCUGACUCUCUGCCUACUUGUGAUCUCUCUCUCUCUCUGUCAAAUAAAUAAAAUAAAAUCUAAAAAGAAGAAGAGGAAGAUGAAGAAGAGGAGAAAGAAGGAAGAAGAAGGAAGAAGAAGGAAGAAGAAGAAGAAGAAAAAGAAGAAGGUCUUUUAUUUAAGAACUUCCUGGUCCUGAGGUGCCUGGGUGGCUGAGUGGGUUAACCCUCUGCCUUUGGCUCAGGUCAUGAUCCCAGGGUCCUGGAAUUGAGCCCUGCAUCAGGCUCUCUGCUUAGCAGGGAGCCUGCUUCCUCCUCUGUCUCUGCCUGCCUCUCUGCCUAUUUGUGAUCUCUCUCUC